rnacentral:tRNA from 1 species
UGUGGAGUGACCCGAGCGGCAAGGGUCCCGGCUGUUAACCGGGCGUUCGGUGGUUCGAUCCCACCCUCCACAG